UCAAAAGCAUCAGCCAGAGCAGGGGAGAGCCAGGGGCGUGGUGAAGGUAUGGGCUUUAGGAGAGAAUGACUCUUCCUCACCCUCCGCCUCCCUUGUCUCCCAGCUCCUGAUCCCUCCCUAGGUGACAAGCCCAGGCAGAGAGGCCCUGAACUUGGACGUCCCACUCUGAUGAACUCCUGGACAAGACAGGGAGAACAUCUGUGUGCUGGACAGGGUUGAGCUGGAAGACUGUGUGUGAUUCCACAUCCCUGUUUCAAGAAAGGAAUUGUUUGGACAUUAGCCAGGUGCCCUGGUCCAGAAGCUCCAGGCCUGAAUUGGUGUCCAAUGGACCUGAGGGGUCAGAAUCAGGCCCAGGAAGAUGGGUUUCCCCGUCCCCUCGGCCCCGACCCAGCAGGGGAGGGAGAAGGCUGCUUCAUUAUGUUUAAUGGGAUUAUUGGGGAGGGGGGACAGUAGUCAUGGGGCAUUAGCUGCUAAUUGGGUCCAUAAUAAAGUUAAUAAAGCUC